rnacentral:tRNA from 1 species
AGUUCAGUGUUAGAGCGCAUGCUUAGCACGCAUGAGGCCAGGGUUCAAUCCCCUG